AGUAUGGUCACAAGGCUGAAACUUAAAGGAAUUGACGGAAGGGCACACCAGGAGUGGAGCCUGCGGCUUAAUUUGACUCACCACGGGAAAACUUACCAAGACCGAACAGUAGAAGGAAUGACAGAUUAAGAGUUCUUUCAUGAUUUAUUGGGUAGUGGUGCAUGGCCGUUCUUAGUUGGUGGAGUGAUUUGUCAGGUUAAUUCCGGUAACGAACGAGACUGAAACCUAUUAAUUAGUUUCCUGCCUAUACGACAGGAAUCUCCGCAAGGUCAGGUGCCUCGGUACCACUUCUUAAAGGGACACAUUUCAAUUGUCUCAUUUUAAUCGAUGUCUCUGGCUCCGGUCAGAACUCUUUUAACGUGAGAAAAAGAAAAAGGAAGCAUUCAGCAAUAACAGGUCUGUGAUGCCCUUAGACAUCUUGGGCCGCACGCGCGCUACAAUGGAGUUACUAGAGAGUAUUUUAUCAUCCAAGCCUUAUAU
rnacentral:rRNA from 1 species